rnacentral:rRNA from 1 species
GCUAGCGCGGGGCCGGCGGCGGGGGUAAUACGGGGGGGGCUGGGGUGGUUCGGAAUUACCGGGCGUAAAGCGCACGUAGGCGGACCAGAAAGUUGGGGGGGAAAUCCCGGGGCUCAACCCCGGAACUGCCUUCAAAACUCCUGGUCUUGAGGUCGAGAGAGGUGAGUGGAAUUCCGAGUGUAGAGGUGAAAUUCGUAGAUAUUCGGAGGAACACCAGUGGCGAAGGCGGCUCACUGGCUCGAUACUGACGCUGAGGUGCGAAAGCGUGGGGAGCAAACAGGAUUAGAUACCCCUGUAGUC